rnacentral:rRNA from 1 species
UACGAAGGGGGCUAGCGUUGCUCGGAAUCACUGGGCGUAAAGCGCACGUAGGCGGGUCGUUAAGUCGGGGGUGAAAUCCUGGAGCUCAACUCCAGAACUGCCUUCGAUACUGGCGACCUUGAGUCCGGGAGAGGUGAGUGGAAUUCCUGGUGUAGCGGUGGAAUGCGCAGAUAUCAGGAGGAACACCGGUGGCGAAGGCGGCCACCUGGACGGUAACUGACGCUGAGACGCGAAAGCGUGGGGAGCAAACAGG